rnacentral:rRNA from 1 species
UGGGGAAUCUUGCGCAAUGGGCGAAAGCCUGACCCAGCCACGCCGCGUGAGUGAUGAAGGCCUUCGGGUCGUAAAGCUCUGUGGGGAGGGACGAACAAAUCUGGGGCUAAUCACCCGGGUCCUGACGGUACCUCCUUAGCAAGCACCGGCUAACCCUGUGCCAGCAGCCGCGGUAAUACAGGGGGUGCAAACGUUGCUCGGAAUCAUUGGGCGUAAAGCGCACGUAGGCGGUCUGUUAUGUCGGAUGUGAAAGCCCUUGGCUCAACUGAGGAAGUGCAUCCGAAACUGGCAGGCUAGAGUACGAAAGAGGAUCGCGGAAUUCCCGGUGUAGAGGUGAAAUUUCGUAGAUAUCGGGAGGAACACCGGUGGCGAAGGCGGCGAUCUGGGUCGAUACUGACGCUGAGGUGCGAAAAAGCGUGGGGAGCAAACA